CGGGGGAGGCCGGAUCCUGGGCUGUGUCUUGGCGCCUUGUGCUACGGGGCCUGCGCUAUGGGAUUCACGCUCCCUCCCCGCAGCCCCCU
rnacentral:pre_miRNA from 1 species